GUUAGGAAUAUUCGUCAAUGGGGGAAACCCUGAACGAGCAAUGCCGCGUGAGUGAAGACGGUCCUCUGGAUUGUAAAACUCUGUUGUUUAGGAAAAACGGUACAUAAAGGAAAUGUUAUGUAAUUGAUGGUACUAUUCAAGAAAGCCACGGCUAACUACGUGCCAGCAGCCGCGGUAAUACGUAGGUGGCGAGCGUUAUCCGGAUUUAUUGGGCGUAAAGCGUCCGCAGACGGCUUGUUAAGUCUAGAAUCAAAGCCCAGAGCUUAACUCUGGUUCGUUCUAGAAACUGGCAGGCUUGAGUGUAGUAGAGGCAAGUGGAAUUUCUAGUGUAGCGGUAGAAUGCGUAGAUAUUAGAAGGAACACCAGUGGCGAAGGCGACUUGCUGGGCUAUAACUGACGUUCAUGGACGAAAGCGUGGGGAGCAAAUAGGA
rnacentral:rRNA from 1 species